GGGCAUAAGGGACUGGGCUGAUUUUUUUUCUUUUUCUCCUACCCCUCUUCUUUCUCGCCUCUCGUUUCCACAUCCGGCUGGCGGCUAGGGUUGCUGCCGCCACCACAACCGCCUCCACCAUCCAUGCUCUCCAGCUCCCCAAAGAGCUUAGCUAUCUCCUCCUGGACCUCCUAACUCCUCUUCCCCAAGAUUCGAGAUGGAAGGGAUGGGGAAGAAGAGGCGCCCGCUGAUGGUGAUGGACUUCUCGUUGACCGCGGCGGCGCAGACGGCGUCGAGGGGUCCAGAGACCGGGGCGUGGGAGUGGAUGGCAAGGGAGCGCGCAGCCGUCGACCCCGUGCACUGUCUCCCUCUCUCCUCAACGACUCGCGGCGAAGAAGCCGCUGGAGGAGGAGCUCUACCUAGACGACGGUGGCCGGAGGACGUCACCAUGGGGAUUUGCUGCAAAGGGCCACCGGAGGAGGAGCCCAACUACAGGAGAAUGCGGUGCAGCAAGAGCCUCGCCAGCAUCGUCGGCAUCGAGCAGUCCUCUAAAGCUCGUCCUCACCACCACGGACGUCGGAACUGCUCCAAUGGAAAGGUUGGAUGCUCACAUGGAAGAAGUGAUCUGAUUUUGCUCUCUCUCAUCUCUCUUUGUAGAUUUUUGUUCAUGCUGGGAUGUGUUCAAGUGUUGAUUUUUGUUCAUGUGUGGAAGCUGGGCUGUGUCUAUAUGUACAUUUUUGUUCAUGCAAGAAUUUUUUUAUUUACACUCAUUAGAUUAUGUUAUUCUCAUGUGUAGCUCGUCAUUUAUCCAAAAUAUUGUUCUUCCAUUUGGGGCUUUAGUUGCAGAUUCAUGCUUAAAAUUAUAUUGUUCAGACGCAUCUUUGCGUGCUUGUUUUGCUUUAACCCGUCGCCUAGCCGUGAAGCACUCUGCUGCAGCCUCUCACUUCACCGUCAACGACACUCUGCUCCAACCCGUCACUUCGAUGUGAAGCCCUCUGCUGCAGCCUCUCACUUCACCGUAGACGACACACUGCUCCAACCCGUCUCUGUCCAGUCCCAGACAAACCUGUUGUAAAGAAGUGCUUAUAAUUUCUCAUGCCCUCAACUACUAUUUUAGCUUUAGUAUGCUCUGGGUAUAAGCAUGGCCGCUACAAUGGUCAGUACCAAGGGCAGUGUCCUCCUGCUGGCGGGGUUCCAAAGUGGAUGUGGAACGCCAUGACCAAGAUCUUCAAAUGUCCAAUGUUUCAUAGACUAUAUCCAUGACAGAGUUCUAUCUGAGCCUCAACUGGUCGAGUGUUGUGCCAACUGUAAGUCUCAUUGUUAGUCAAGAAUGCAUGCUUGUUAGCACAUGCAUCUUCAACAUUACCCUGGUUAUGUUUCAUUGUUUUCAGAAUUGGGAAUUGGUUUAAUAAUUUACUCUCUUUUGAGAAAAUCGGUAGUUGCAGAACAUACUAUUUCAGUAUCACGUACUGUUUUGCAUUUUCCAUUAAAAUGGAAGGAUUACCUCCUACAUUGCAAGUAAUCUUAUUUUUUCUUUGUUAUUUGUUUCCGGGAAACAUGAAUUGAAUGAUGAUACUACAGAUUUAAUUGGCCAUGUGCUUGCUUUUUACAGGAACGACCGAUAUAUUGUUAAAAGAAUGAAAGUAUGCCCUGCCUGAAGAUUUUAGCUUUCUUUCUCUUGAGAAGAUAGAAGGUUUCUGGCCUGUUAACAUCAAUAUAAUUUCAAUGAUCUGCUACCCUUGUAUAUUUUCUCUUUGGUUAGACAAGAAGCUAUUGCGUUGGUCAGUAGAUCUGUCUUAAGUUUUAGAUGUGGAUGAAAUGCUUCUUUCUAGAUGUUUAGUCCAUCAAGUAGUGUGAACUCAUUUGGCUCCCAAUCUGCUUUCAGCUCUAAUGAUUUGGAUUACUUCAAGAAGGACAUAUAAGCACAAAAUAGCAAAAAGAUGACCAUGAAGGCUAGAGCCACUGAUGCAGAGAAGAACGUGCAAGAGCUGAAUGCUAAGCCGGAUAGACUUCAAAAGACAAACGGCGAGCAAACGGUUAGGAUUCAAAAGACUAAAAGUGUUCUUAAAGGUGCAGAGGAGGAGCUGAUGAAGGUGCAGUCAGAAGCAACACCAAAAUCAGAGCAGCUCAGAGAGGCAAUUUUCAAUCUUUUGUUGUAGCUGCUGUCAUAGGAGUACAGUAAGAAAGAAAAGCAGCCGAAGGGGCGCCUCCCACCUGGGACCACCCAACUUCCUCUUAAGCGGCGCCACCCGGUGGCGCCCCAACCGCUAGUUACAAUGUUGUGUGGCUGCUAGCUCUAGUCCCAUGCGAUUCUUCUCCACUCUUAGCUUUAGUUUCUACAUACGUCAUGUGUGGAAAGAAGAUGACUUGGCUUAACAGCGAAGCCCAAUUGCGUUGCAGAUCAUAAGUAGAGGGGGACCAAGGCGAUAUUAUUGUGAUUUACCAGAGGAACGAUAUUUCCCAACUUAGAGAGAAUAGAGAUUAUCUUGUCUCAUUAAUUCAGAAUAUUAUCGGUCAA